AAACAAUAAGGAAUGAAGUUGGAUUAAUAUUUAAAUGGCCGUUACUUCGUCCAAAUUAAACACUCUGGACAAAGCUCGGAAGUGGAUUCAAAAAGGACUCAUCAUCUGCCAGGCCAGAGAGCCCUCUCAGCGCUUGGUAGUGUUGUCAGUGGGUGGUGGUGGGUGGCGCGCUUAUCAGCCUACGUAGAGGCUCCCCAUGCCCGCUGCGAUAAGAAAUAGGCGGAACCGCCCGUCCAGGUGCUUGCUAUUAUCAUGGGGUGCAUUACCAGUACAAGUAAGCUGAACGAACUGCGCGGCCACGAAAACGUUUUUCGAGUGCGGGUGGCCCAUCUGCAGCCCUCCCCUGGUACGCCCACCAUUCGCAGCGGGUACCUGGAGCUGACGCCGCGGGAACUGAUCUUCCAAUCGCCCGGCUGCGAACCAAUUAUAUGGGCUUUGCAGCAUCUCAGACGCUAUGGUCUUAACGCCGACCUCUUUUCAUUUGAAGCGGGUCGCAGAUGCAUGUCUGGGCCCGGAAUAUACACCUUCAGGGUUCAAAAUGCCGAGCUGCUUUAUCCUAUGUUCCAACGCUACAUCAAUGCCGUGAAUACAGAUGCUUUUGCUCAGGUGGAAAGGGAUCGCGUAAACUCCACUCACUCGGUGUCCACGAUGAUGGGCCGUGCGGAUGGAAACCCACACAGUAACAACUACUUGGAGCCGGCUCCACUGAUUAGUCGACAGCUUGGAAGUUCCAUGAGCGAUGCUCCGCAUCCCAGUGCUUUGCAUUUGCUGCAGGCCAAUGAUAGCCAAUCAGAUGACACUCCACCUAAUCUACAGUCUCCUGGUCUGAUUCCUAACGCCUAUUUCGAUCAGCCUUUGAGAACACUACAGGAGUGUUGCCUUGAUGGGACCUCUCCGGAUCUGCAGGCCACCCCACCUUCUGGGAACAGAUUGAGCUCACGUCGGCGUACUCUGGAUUUGCCGCCCCAGGAAUCGGCACCUCCGCCGGCACCAGUUUUAAGUCCCAAUGAAUCCGUGCACAUGUACGCCAAUGUUGAGGCCAUGAUCUUCGAUUUAAGCAACGAGCGUUGUUAUGAGAACGUAAAUCGACUGGAACUGCCGAUCUCUGUACCGUCGAGGGAGUCAAUCGCACCACAAGAGCCAGCUACACCGACCAGUUUGGCGGGUAGCAGUGGCGUAAACUACAUUGUCUUGGAUCUGGAUCAGCCCAAAAGUCCUGCACCUCCGUCUGGAUCGCCAAAAACCUUUAACGGCUUUGGCAGUGGAUUGUCUUUGGUUUCAACGAAAGCAGCUGUUACUGCUCCUGUUACUCCGGAGGCUAGUUUGGCGCUCGACGUACCCCCGGCUCCGAAUCAAACCCAGAGUCUAAACAGCGUAUCAGCUGCGGCCGCCAAUGAUGCUGGGGAGCCGACGUCGAACCGAAACUCUGAAUGCUCAGGAACCCAAGGAUACUCCACUAUUGAUUUCAUUCGCACAUACGCAUUGAACAAAUCCUCGACAGAGCUGCCGGAACAGGUAACCCACCGACAGCAUCCUGCACACGAGGCUGAGGAGCUGAGGAUCACCAGACACAGCAAGUGCAUUCGAAAAGCGUACUCCAUUAGCGAGUGAGUUGAGAUGAUGGCACAAUUCAAAGCAAAGGGCACAACGAAUUUAUAAAAACAAGGUCACCCAAAACAAUUCCAGAAUUUGAGGGAACUAGAGUGAGCAACCAGUUAUAAUUUCUGUGGCUUGUGAUUUGCUAAAAAUUGACCAAACACUAAUUUUUCUUCUGAUUUCUGAAAGCCAUUUCAGUUGCCAAUUAUUUAAGAAUCUGUUAUAAGCAGAAAAUUGGAACUUCUUCUAUGAGAAAACAAAGAAAUAACGAAAAGGUUUUCGAAAAUGUGCAGCACAACGAAUUAACCACAAUCGAUGAUAUUGAGGAUGGAAUUAUUUAGAUUGUGGUUCUGUGGAAUUGAAGUGAUUUGCCAAAGAGUUGUUUUGCUUCCCUCUGAGCCAAACAAACAACAAACAAUAUUAAAUCCAGGUUGUUUUAGUAGUCAGUACUACCCUCACACGCAGACAUGACUUGCAUACGUACUUAGUUUAGUUGUUUAAGGAUAGGUAAUAGCGUUCAUUAGAGAUUAGAUGAGAUGAUUUGUGUACGUGCCAGCGGCUGUUAAAACUAGUCAUUUUUUGGAUUUUUGUGCAAAUUUAUCAUAGUGAGCAACACGAAAGGCUUUUAAAAUUUAAAUUGUAAAUGGUAUCCUAAGUAUCGUUAGAUUCUAAGUACCAAUAUAUACAUUUGCGUACACUUAAACAUAAUUGUGUACGAUCGUUGUUGGCCAAGGCUUUAUAAUUGUAUUUUGUUGCAACAAAAAGAAAAGAAAACAAAACGAUGGCAGCAAGCAUUGCAUUGCGUUGCAUUGUCCGCUUUGUUAGGAAUAUUAUAUACACUGAUUGUCAAGCGGAGCAUUCAUCCUUGGAGGAGGUUUGAAUAAUUCGACCGAGGAUUUUUGCAGUUGCAUAUAGAUUUACAUACAUACUUACGCUGGCGGCUCAGUCCGUGGCAUAAACUAUAUUAUUGUUAGUGUCUAAGACGAAAUAUGUGCAAUAAAACUCAAAUGAUCUUGUAACUGUAUCUUUUAAAUACUGGACAACGAAAAACAUCUCUAUUUUUGAUUGUUUGAAAGC
rnacentral:misc_RNA from 1 species